rnacentral:lncRNA from 1 species
GGGCAUCCUUGCAGGGGAAGCAAGAACGGGGAGUAGGGUGCAGCUUCUCCCAGAUAACCCUUCAGAAUGUUAACCACAGGAAUAUUUUGGAUGACUGUCCUUAUUUCUCACAUUCAAGGUAUGUGUUAUUCUUUUCUGCAAUGUUUAUUUGUUAUACCUGAGGCAUUAUCUCUUUAGCUACAAUAUUUUAACUAGGGAUUACAAAAACUCUAACUCAAAUUGGUGAUUACUCUGAGGAUAGCAAUGUCAGGCUUGGAUUGGGUUACAACUAAUCAAGAGGUUUGAUGAGUCUAUGAAAAUUCAUAUUCCCUUAAACUCUAACAAUCAUGAGAAAGGGAAAGAGAUGAGCAUUUACAAAAUACCUGUAGAAGUAUAGACACUGUGUUAGUCCUUAACUACUUUGUAUGUCAGAAAGUUUAAAACCCUAUACUAAAAUACCUUUUAGUGAUAAAGAAUAUGAAAAUACCAUUUGCAGAUCACAGAGAUUAGAUAGAUACAAGUGGUCACAAAAUCCAUUAACAGGUGAACCCUUGGUACAAAUCUGAGUACACCCCCAAAUUCUUAUUAUUCAAUAUUUAUUGUUAUAUAUGGUCCAUAAUACACUCACAGCUAACUUUCUAUAUAACAGGACAUGAUAAAAAAGAUAACAUUUUGCAUUGAUAUGGGGCCAGCUAAGAUUGUCUAAGCAGUGGAAGAUUUGAGCUUUACCUAUGGAAGUUAAGACUACAAAUGCAAAGUCAC